rnacentral:lncRNA from 10 species
ACACCGUCCAGAUGGUCAGAGACUCCCCUCAGUAAAGUGACUUUCCUCUUCAGCUGCACUUUCUCCUGCCCAGGUGGCUCCUUGUUGCCCAGGGAAGGCAGCCUCCCGUUAACAUUUCCCUGCAGGUAACCUCCUUUGGAGAUGGUGGACACAACAGGCUUUCUGACCAUAGUAGGGACACACGGGGGAAAAAUAAAACAGAGGGAAAGAAAACAAAACUUUCAACUUUGGUGUCUCUUGGUGUUACUGAUCGAUGUCUUCCUCUGCUUUCAGACUGUCUCUCUCAGCGCUAUAGUGUUCACAGGUGAAAACUCAAAGGUGUGCUUUUUCCUUCACAGCGAUCUAAUUACUACUCAGAAACACCUGUGUAUGCAUCGUGCUCUCAAUUCUCCACCUCCUCGUUCCACCACUGCUGCUGCUGCUGCUGCUGCCGCCCUAUCAUUACAAACCAGCUCAGCUUCCUCAUGGGCUUGUAUUUAAGCGCCUGCCUGUCACACCAACUUACUACAGCUAAAUGAUGAUGCAAAUUCUCCAGGUUUGCAUCAGCCACAUGAGAAGCCUCCAGCAUUACUCAGCUCUUUUUUUUAAAAAAAGAAAAAAACAGGAGGAGCUUGUUGCUCAACUGACCUAAGCUUUUUAGAGAACAAAGCACACACUUUAAAGAGAUUUUAGCCAAUCCAGAAGUAGUAAAUUCGGAACAGACCUUCCCAGAGAUUUAAAGCAACUCGUAGUGAGCAACAAAAGCUGUUCAAACAAAAUGAAACAGGAAAUAGUUACUUCAUUUUAAGGAGUUUCUUUUUCUUUAAUGCGUGUAUAAAAACAUUUUACAUGCGACUGUUUUGUGAGUAGAAUGUAUCCUAAAGCUACAUUGUUUAUAACAACACAGUUUGAAUUUCAUAAUUUGUGUAAUGCUUUUUAUUUUUUUAUUUUGAGUUUUUUAUAAGGCAAUACAGUCAAAUCCAAUAUUUACAAAAUUAAAGAUUCUACACUUUAUACUUCUGUCACAUACACACAACUAUAAGCCUUCCUCAACAUUAAAAGAUAAAAUUAUUUCUUACUACUCAUAAUAAACCAGUAUUUUAAAUCACCAUCCGAGUGUGACUAAUACAAAAUUCACCAUGACUCCAGAAAAUAGUCAUUUUCUGAUUCUCAUUAGCACUAGGUGAUUUUUUUGAACUAUGUAAAAGAUACAUAUCCUUCAUUGUCAUGUUGUUCCUUUGAAUUACC